AUGGCGGCGACGUACGCCAACCUCGGGGAGACGCUCGGUGACGCGGCGUUCGUCAAGAAGCUGCUGGAUACGGUGCCGGAUCGGCUCUUCCCCGUCGUCGCCGGCAUCGAGCAGUUCCACGAUGUGACGACGAUGGCGUUCGACGAAGCGCUCGGCCGGCUGCGCGCAUUCGAAGAGCGAGUUCGGCGUCAACGGCAGGACAGCGGCGAGCGGGCGGACGGACAGCUCCUGUUCACGGCGGUGCAGUGGCGAGCGCUGGAGCGGCCGCAAGGUGGAGCACGGGACGACGACGACGGGCGCAGCAUGGCGUUGGUGAGCGGCGGCAACAGGCGCAGGCGCUGCUACAAGUGCGGGGAGUACGGGCACUUCCGGCGCGAGUGCCCGCAGCUGCGGAAAGGACCGGCGGCGGAGCAGGCUCUCUUGGCCGGCGCCAACGUCGACGACGACGGACUCCUCUAG
rnacentral:rRNA from 1 species